AGAGUUUGAUCAUGGCUCAGGACGAACGCUGGCGGCGCGCCUAACACAUGCAAGUCGAGCGAGAACCAGGGCUUGCCCUGGGGACAGCGGCGAACGGGUGCGUAACACGUGAGCAACCUGCCCCAAAGACCGGGACAACCCGAGGAAACUCGGACUAAUACCGGAUGCCCUCACCGGGUCGCAUGGUCUGGUGAGGAAAUGGAUUCCGCUUUGGGAUGGGCUCGCGGUCUAUCAGCUUGUUGGUGGGGUAACGGCCUACCAAGGCGACGACGGAUAGCUGGUCUGAGAGGACGAUCAGCCACACUGGGACUGAGACACGGCCCAGACUCCUACGGGAGGCAGCAGUGGGGAAUCUUGCGCAAUGGGGGAAACCCUGACGCAGCGACGCCGCGUGCGGGAUGAAGGCCUUCGGGUUGUAAACCGCUUUCAGCAGGGACGAAAUUGACGGUACCUGCAGAAGAAGGCCCGGCCAACUACGUGCCAGCAGCCGCGGUAAUACGUAGGGGCCUAGCGUUGUCCGGAAUUAUCGGGCGUAAAGAGCUCGUAGGCGGUUCGGCAAGUCGGAUGUGAAAUCUCCACGCUUAACGUGGAGGGGCCAUUCGAAACUGCUGUGACUCGAGUCCGGUAGGGGAGUGUGGAAUUCCCGGUGUAGCGGUGAAAUGCGCAGAUAUCGGGAGGAACACCAGUAGCGAAGGCGGCACUCUGGGCCGGUACUGACGCUGAGGAGCGAAAGCGUGGGGAGCGAACAGGAUUAGAUACCCUGGUAGUCCACGCCGUAAACGUUGGGCACUAGGUGUGGGACUCUAUCGACGGGUUUCGUGCCGUAGCUAACGCAUUAGUGCCCCGCCUGGGGAGUACGGCGCAAGGCUAAACUCAAAGGAAUUGACGGGGGCCCGCACAAGCGGCGGAGCGUGUGGCUUAUUCGAUGCAACGCGAAGAACCUUACCUGGGCUUG
rnacentral:rRNA from 1 species